rnacentral:tRNA from 1 species
GCCAGAGUGGCGGAACCGGUAGACGCGGCGGAUUCAAAAUCCGCAGCCCUUCAUCGGGCGUGGGGGUUCGAGUCCCCCCUCUGGCACCA